AACAACGAUCCUCGUACGAUCACGGAAGUUAAGCAACAUCGAACUUGAUUCGUACCUAAAUGGGUGACCUCUUGAGAAUAUCUGGUGCUGUAA